AUCUACCCUUAGCUCGUGCAUUUAUUUUGUGCAAGUAUACUUCGUUGAGUAGAACAAGCUGUCUCAAACUCUGAUGAAGGAACCUGGUGGACUCUUCUUCUCGUCUCUCUGCAGCUCUCUCGUCUCCUUCGCCCCCACCACCUCCAGCCAGCCAGCGGAGAAAAAAGAAAGCAGGCGGGGAAGGGGGUGAUUGGAUUGGAGGCUUGGAGCUUGGAGCUGGCACCUGGCGGCACAAAGCACAGCAAAGCAAAGCACCCGAUUCGAUUCCUAGCCACCCGGCUUCUUUUUCCAACCGUCCUUCCAUGGCUUUCUUGCUUGAUCGAUCUUGAUUGCCCGCCUCAGCUCCUUCCCGCUCCUCUUCUCCUGACUUCUCGCUCUUGCCGGUGGCUGGAGGAGCCGAGGCUGAGCUGGCGGCCCGCCUACCGGCCGGCCGGCGUUGUGGUCGAUCGGGCAGUCGGUUGGUAAGCAAUUUCGCAUGGCAAUUUAGCCAGCGCGGCGAUUGGUUGAGUCGUCUUCCACCAUUGCGCCGGCAGCAGCCGGUGUUGCCUCGCCAGCAGCGGAAAGGCGCUUUCUUGGGCCAUGGCGUGCGCGGCGGCGCACAUGUUCGCCUACAACGCCACCCUCUGCGCCUGCGACCCCGGGUACUACCUCCGCGCCAACAGCAGCGGCGGCAACGGCAGCAACAGCUGCGUGUCGCUGCCGGGCGGCGGCGGGGGCGGCGGCGGGUUCGGCGACUGGCAGGUGGGGUCCGUGGGCGCGACCCGGAACCAGAGCUUCUACUUCCUGACCCCCGUCCUCUCCCUCGACGUCAUCCGCCGCCUCACCCAGUCCCAGGCCGUCCUCCUCUGGGCCGCGCUCGCCGCGCUCCUCUCCUGGUUCGCCUUCUGCGCCGCCGCCAGGUUAGCCGGCCGGGACCCCGCCCGCCACAAGAAGCUCUUCGACGCCCGGUUCUGGAUCAGCCGCCUCGACUGCAUCUUCGACAACAACCACUACGCGGAUGAUCAGCAAGUACUGAAGAAAAGGAAAACAGAGCUGGGUGGCACGUUCUCGGUGGCUACCUUGAUACUCUUCCUCGGACUAGUCACCGUGCUGCUGUAUCAAGCCAUCAAAAGACGCAAUGUCGAAGUACAUCGAGUUAAACCAGCUAAUGCUCCGGAUCUGCUGAACUUUGUGAAUGAUCUCGAGUUUCACAUAACCACAGUCUCAAGCAUGUCCUGCGCUCAAGCAGUCGCACCUUCUACAAUAGCAAUGGGAACUCCUGGGUUUAUGGACUUCAGGGUGCAGCCUCUGUCAACACUCUUGACCUACAGUUGCCAGAACACGAGCGAUGGGCCAUCUAUUACACUUAAGUGCAAUGGCUGCCGAAUCCCUCCAAGAGACCACUAUGUAUCCUGGCAGUUUGUUGACCUUCCAAGGCAACCAGCUACCGCUGUUGCCUUCCAGUUCAAUCUGACUGCAAAGCAACAUGGAGAUAACAGUGACGUCAGCUUUGUGAGUGGUACUAUAAGCUCCAACAAUUUCGUUGAUGACAAGCUGAAGACUUUCAGAGGGCGAGACUCCAAUGUGCUCAAGAUUCAAUUGUUUCCUCAAAUAUACAACAACCAUCAUGGCUUGAAGCUCUUACAGCCACUCCUUCAGGACUUCACUCAAGGUUCUACCUUUUCAGAUGUGAGCAGCUUAAAUGCUUCCCUGCAGAACCCUAUCGAUGGAGUGAUAAAUACUACACUCUACAUAAGUUAUCUUUCUGACUAUAUCGUGGAGAUCAACAAUGAAAAUGUGUUAGGCCCAGUUAGUAUAAUUGCAAGUAUUGGUGGCCUGUAUGCCUUCAGUGUGGCAAUUUUUCUGUGCCUUAUGGCUCAAUGCGAAGGUAGGAUAAAGAAGCUCCGUCAUGAGGACACCAGAAUGCUGAAAAUUCUGAGCAAACAACGUGCUCAGCGAAAUUGGAACAAGGUGCGGAAGUUUGUCAUGUACACCUGGGGUCCUAGCAACUUGGAUCCAACUGAUAGAAGUGGCAAGUGGCCUGAAGGUUCAGUGAUGGAUUCCCUCCACGGAUCCUUCCACAAGAGAAGAAAACCUAUUAGAAGAGGAACCUCCAACGGAAGCAAACCCAAGAAGCCUGCUGAUAUGAGUUUCCUUGAGGAAUAAAUUUGUGCAAUGGUACUGCCGCAGGCAAUUGAAAUCGAAAGAGUUGGAGAGAUACAGAAGCCAAGCAGUUCUAGAUAGCCUUGAUGGAUGGAGCAUCUGUGAUCACUAGCGACGGUUCCGACACGACCAUGCUCCGGGAGAGGGGUUGUCUAUAUCAAGAACGUAGUUAGAGACAAGUGGCAAUUGUACAGAGUGAGGUUGCAGGGCUGUAGCAUCAGGGUUGGGGAUGCUGCUGGUUAGGAAGAGAGAGAUUGGGAAUUGCAUUGCCGUUUUAAGUUGGAGCUAGCUGCUUCAGAGGUCUGUGUGUCCUUUUUGAUUUCUUAGACGGGAUUGCUAUUCUUUUAUUGAGUUGUAGAUGUUGAUUGGUGAUUAUCCACGUCUGUAUUUGAUUGAAGCACUUCCUUUCAUCUCCCUUGAUGUCAAUUUGCAAUUUCGAAAUGAGGAAGAGAAGAGUAAACACGGCUCUUAUUCUUUUUUUA